rnacentral:rRNA from 1 species
AUUGAACGCUGGCGGCAUGCUUUACACAUGCAAGCCGAACGGCAGCACGGACUUCGGUCUGGUGGCGAGUGGCGAACGGGUGAGUAAUACAUCGGAACGUGCCCAGUUGUGGGGGAUAACUACUCGAAAGAGUAGCUAACACCGCAUGAGAACUGAGAUUGAAAGCAGGGGAUCGUAAGACCUUGCGCAACUGGAACGGCCGAUGGCAGAUUAGGUAGUUGGUGGGAUAAAAGCUUAACAAGCCGACGAUCUGUAGCUGGUCUGAGAGGACGACCAGCCACACUGGGACUGAGACACGGCCCAGACUCCUACGGGAGGCAGCAGUGGGGAAUUUUGGACAAUGGGCGAAAGCCUGAUCCAGCAAUGCCGCGUGCAGGAUGAAGGCCUUCGGGUUGUAAACUGCUUUUGUACGGAACGAAAAGCUUCGGGCUAAUACCCUGGAGUCAUGACGGUACCGUAAGAAUAAGCACCGGCUAACUACGUGCCAGCAGCCGCGGUAAUAC